AGCUAAGUCGUUUGCGUACAAGUGCCGACGGACGAGUCAUUCCCACGCUGUUGUCGUAUAUUCAAUUGGAGAAUACUGGAGGCCGCGAACGCGUAAUGGCGAAUCUGGUUUGAUGGCGGGUUUGACCAAUCAGACAAGGUUAUUCGGCCUGUAUUCGGCGUCAACUGGGAGUUCUGUAGACCAAUCAGAACGCCGUUCCGGAACACCACAUGGCAUAAUUUGCGUGGCACCGCCCACAAGACUUCAAGGCCUCUCCCAUUAUGGACGACUUUAUGGCCCAAUGAAGAUCCGGUAUUCGAGUGACGUCAUCGAUAGCCGCCAGCUGUCACGGAGCGCCACUGAUCCGAGUACACAGAAGAGCAGGAGUCAAGCUGUGACAAAGAAUAAGAGAUUUCCUUCUCCACCAUCUAGAACGAGGAAAACCAUAUUGCUGCUGAGGGGAAAUCAGGUUCCAUCCGUUUGAGGCACAAACAUAGUCCAUCAGUUUUAAUCAAAAUUGGGAUAGUCAUCAAUUCAACUGUACCCGACUUACCUUAACGACUGCACCGAGCGAUCGAGAGCAGCGGAUGGGGUCUGCGAGGUUCCAGGCGGUCAGGACCAGCAGGUCCGCCAGGAUCAAAAGGGCCACCAUGGCCAUUAGCUGAAUAUCUCGGAUGAUCUGACGUAAAAAACACGGGCGUACAAAGGUGUACCAGAGAGUUGGCACCACAAGGAGGUGACGGACGAUGCAAAACGCCACAGACUGGCUAACAGAAAGCCACAAUGUCACGGCGUCGUAACCCCCUUUUGGAAAACAGAUAUUUGAACACAAGCCGUGGAGCAACAUAUGUAGACAGAUAAUAUAAGAACACUCACAGGCAAAUAUUCAAUGAUAACUCCACAAUGUGAAGUUGCGAUUGAACUCAACAUCAAGGUUCCAAUAAUGAGCUCAGCUGCACAAAAACACGUACCACUCUCUUGUCGGGCACUCGCUGGGUGAACACCCUGUACAGCCGCCACGUUUUCCCUAAAAUGGGUCCGAACACCAUGGUGCUGCCGAGACAAAGGGUCCACACCCGAGCCUGUGGGAAGCAACAUUUACCAAACGAAGAACGGUAUAUGAACCGGCGAUGCGUUUGGAAAAGCGGCGCAGCUUCACCUGGCAACGUGAUUCAGUUAUAGCGAGCUGACUGACAAAUAUAUUUCACAUUAUUGGUUUUUAUACCAACUGACAUUUCACUAUGACAGAGUGGGCAUGUUAAGCUUGAAAACAUCCAACUAUGCACAUAAUAUGAUAAAAAAAAAAAUUAUGAAACACAAGUGUAAAUAUGUUUACCGUUACUGUAAUGACAGGGUGGACGGCAAUUUCAGGGACAAUAUGAUCAUUAAAAUGGAAUAUGUGGAAUGUAUAGGAUCCAAAUGAGUCGUUUUAACCAAUAAUUUGUCGUGGACAAUAAAACCAUGUAAAGAUG